GCCCGCAGCCCCACAUCCCCCCGCAUUCCCCCAUCCGAUCCCCUACCCCACCGCCAACAAACCCUAGCGAUCGCCAUGGACUCGGACCAGGACUCCGCCGACGACUGGGUCGUCCUCGACUCCUGCACAUCCUCCGACGACGACGACCUCAUCCUCGUGCUCUCCUCCGGCUGCGGCACCCCGGACUCCGCCACCGACUCCGACUCCGACUCCGACUCCGCCGCCGCCGCCGCCCACCUCCUCGCCGCCGCCUGCGCCGACGACGCCGAGGGUGUCUACGCGCUCUCCGACGCCGAGGACGAGGACGCCGCCUACCCGACCCCAGCCCCGCCGCUCCCCAGGCCGCUCGCGGGCCUCUUCCACCACGCGCUCGGCGGGGCCGUCCGCUACGCCGCCUUCGAGCCCGCCGCGCCCGGGGACGCCUACCGCGGCGCCAAGCAGCUCGUCCCGGACCCCACCUUCUCCUCCCUCAUCCACGAGGACGCCGCCGCCGCGCUCGCCUCCACCCGCGGCCUCGUCUGCCUCCGCGGCAGAGCCUCCGGGGACUACUACGUCGCCAACCCGCUCGCCUUCACGCGCGCGCGACUCCCGCCCCCCGCGCGCGCCCACUUCGCCCACGGGGACCCCGCCGUCGUCAUCACCUUCGACGUCGUCGACGACGGCGACGAGGAGGCCGAGGGCAAGGACGACGGCCGCGGCUUCUACCGCCACUACCACGUCGCCGUCGCCUUCCCCAUCGGGGACGGCAUCUACGCCUUCGAGUCCUUCUCGUCCAGGACCUGGGAGUGGACCAUCGGCGCCGGGGUCGCCGCGGCCGAGACCGUCGUCCCGUUGUCCGGGGUCGGCGCGCACGGAUGCGCCUUCUGGCGCACCACCAUGGGAUUCUUCCUCUGCUACGAGCCCGUCUCGGGGUGCUCGGACCUCGUCCCCGCGCCCAUGGAGGUGCAGCAGUGGCCCGUCUGGGAGCUCGGCGAGAUGGAGGGCACGCUCUGCGCCACCUGCAUGGACGACCGCGUCAGCGCCGUCGUCGUCAUCUGCCUCGACUUCGCGCGCCGCGACACCAACGGCGGCGUCGCGUGGACUCUGGCGGGCCACUUCGAGGGGGGAUGCCUCAGGGGACGCCAGGACGUCACGCUGCUUCGCUCGCAGGGCAAGGCCGAGGUCGUCAUGUGGGACCCCACGGCACAGAUGGUCGUCGCCAUGGACCUCGAAGGGCGCACCACGCGCACCAUCACCUUCGUCCCCGGCAGCGGCUACUACGCCGAUUUCAUCCCCUACGUCAGCUCAUUGGCCGCGGUCUCUGCCUCCGGGUAAAGCAAUCAGCUUCGAGCUAAGCGUAGGACUAAUGCUACUAAUGAAGCUGGUGCUGAGUACAAGGCUAGGGAUAUUGAUGCUGAGGCAUACUAAGUAGUAACAGCUAAAUCUGUACAAAAGCUGGAAUGAUUUGUUGAUGAUACGAAGGAAUAAUGAAAGCUUCCAGAUGUGUGCAGCAUUCUUUGAAUCGCAGUUUUGCCUGAUAGUAUCUCCAUCUUUUUCAGUGUCGCUGGUUGUGGUACAAACCACGUAGUAGCUCCUUUUAGUGUACAAAUGUAGGGACAGGCCACUAUCCGGUCUGUCUAACAGUCAGUCCAAACUGGUUUAGCUAGUAGACGUCCUCUUGUGCUUUGACGUUUCUGAACGAGAACUACGAUCUGGUACUUUUGAUGUGGUUUCUGAUGUGUUUGCCUUUUCUAUUUGUUUUUUUUUAAUCAUGCGCGAUGCUUAGUUCGUGCAGUAUUCUGCUAAUGUUGGUUGGUGCUGCUUUGUUGCUUC